rnacentral:tRNA from 1 species
CGAGGUAUAGCAUAUAUAAUGCUUUUUACUUACACUAAAUCUAAAACACUAGUUUGCCUCGC